GCAGACUGUUGAAAACACACAGUCGGGUGCCUAUUCAGCUCUCUGAACACUUUAGAGUUAGUGAAGACCGUUCUGUCGCUUUACACGUUACACAACUUGAAAGAUUUUUGACUAUCCUGCUGUUCUUUUGUCUGUUUUGUACUAGUCUCACCCAGACAUGUGAAAAACAUCUGCGAAGGAAUGAAAGAAUGCCAGACAGCCCUCAGGCCCAUUUCAGUGGGCACCUCAUGGCUACUGCCAUGGGGCCUGACAGCUGAAGCCCUGGUUGUUAUGGGCAUAAGCUCACUCAUUUAUUCAGACAACUAUAAGACGUGCUAUGUCAAACCCUGAAACAUUAGUAAAUAGUUUCAACAACGAUCCACUGAGCCUUCGUUCUUCCGCAGCCAGUCUCCUAAUGCCUCACAUCUCCUCUCAAAGACAUUUUCAAAGACUCUGGAUCAGACACAAUGGAAGACAUCCACUAAGCUGAGGGAAAAUUGGAUCUGCUUGUGAAAAGGUGACUAGAGAGUACGAAGAUUUCAGAUGACUCAAGUGUGAAGAGAUGAUACCAAUCCCUGCAAGUGCUGUGGAUCGCUGUGGGAUCAGCUCAGGAGUGUUCCUUCCUGUCGACGGGGCUUGUUAUUGUCACAAGCAUCCUCACCAGCUCCUCUCGCUGUGAAGCUCCCUAAUUAGUCACCUCGUCUCUCCUGAUUCACAGUGAGCAGCUCACAAUACACAAAACACAAAAAGAGUCAUUUUAAUGGGCCCGUGUUUUUCAGGUGUACUCGAGAUAAAAGUGCAAAGUGAAUUUUGUUUCACAGGUAGUGGGUCACAUGUAAAAACACUGAUUCUUGAGUACUGGGAUAAAACAAUACAAAAAAAAAAAAAAGUUUAUGUGAAUUAUUUUGGUAAUAAAAUAUGCUGUUCUUUUGAGCUUAAGAAAUGUUUCUUGAGCACCAAAUCAGCAUACUAGAAUGAUUUCUGAACUUAAAAGUGAACCUAAAAGUAGUGUAUAUUAAUUAAAAAUGUGUGAUUUUUUUUUUUUUUUUUUUUUUUUUGAAUCAUUAGGAUACAAUCAUAGCUAAAAAAAUCCUGGAAAACCAGAACACAUUCAUUAUUAGUAACACUGGCUCAGAAAUAAACUUUAUAUAUGACGAUGUGAUUCUAAUCUAACAUUAUUAUCACAGAGAAAUCAGCUUAUGAGAUUUUUAGCAUGCCAUAUGUUACAAGCAAGAUUCAAAUCUGCAUGGGAAACACUACUGGUUAAAGUCCAACACUUUAGCCACCCAGAUGAUGCUCCUGUGGCACAAUAUUAUUAAAUAUAAUGACUGCUUUUCAGAUUGGAAAUCAAGACUAAUGCAACUAAUAAUUUCAACAUGGUGUCAGUUCCAGCUUGGGCUGCACUGCGGCUCAGUGGCAAACAAAACAACCAUAUCAAGUUGUCUUGAGCCUGCCAAUCAGUCCUCUCAGCAGGGUGAAGUACUAUCCAUGGGGACGGCUUUACCAGAAUCCCGGAUGAAGAGGAUGUGGGAAGAGCCAGCAGCUGUGAACCCAGUGGCCUUGCCAAGCACCGCUGGCCAGACAAACCAGAUGUGCAACCCAGUAAAAUUCAUAUUAGAAAUGACGGGCAGACAGAUGGGUGGGACUGUGGGUGAGUAAAGAUACGUUGUCUCUGAGGCAAACUAGCAUACCACACAAAAAGAGAGCGAGACUCUCUAAAAUGAAAAAAAAAAAACUAUGAGCACUAUGCUCUCAAUGACAUUUAAGUUUGUUUUAGAGAAUAAAACAUUGUUAAGUUUUCAUUUUUAACUAGUAAUGUGUGUAAAACCAAGUUGUGUGUGCUGUGCCUAUAUGAGAUAAAUAGUUGAUAGAUGAUCUGCAUCCGAAAUCGCAUACUUCCCUAAUAUACAGCAUCCGGUUGACUUACUACUUCCAACGAGAUUCUUAAGUGUGCAUACAAUACAGGACACUUUUAAAGGUGCAGUGUGUAAAUUUUAGGGCCAUCUAGCGGUGAGGUUGCGAACUGCAACCAACGGCAGCUCACCCCUCCCUUUCGAAACAAAACAGAGAGGCUAUGGUGGCCGUCUGGCCGACACAAGACAAAGAUGUCGUCGUCUGAGACAGCAGAGUAUGUUAGCCAGCCAAGCAAUGAGGUUUCUUCUGACUUCUAACAAAGAAUGGUCUCUGCUUCUAAUAAACCAAACAACUAUUACUACUACUUUGUGCAUAUUCAAUGUAGUGAUGAUGCAAGCUGCCUCCAAAAACACAAAUGAUUUAAAACAAGAACAACAUAGUGAUGAAACGUGCUCUGUAGAGUGUUUGUCCGUUUAGGGCUGCUGUAGAAACAUGCCGGCGCAUAAUGGCGACUUAAAGGCGCUCUAAGCGAUUUGAC